UGCAGUCGAACGAUGAAGCCCUUCGGGGUGGAUUAGUGGCGAACGGGUGAGUAACACGUGGGCAAUCUGCCCUUCACUCUGGGACAAGCCCUGGAAACGGGGUCUAAUACCGGAUAACACUCCUGCCUGCAUGGGCGGGGGUUAAAAGCUCCGGCGGUGAAGGAUGAGCCCGCGGCCUAUCAGCUUGUUGGUGGGGUAAUGGCCCACCAAGGCGACGACGGGUAGCCGGCCUGAGAGGGCGACCGGCCACACUGGGACUGAGACACGGCCCAGACUCCUACGGGAGGCAGCAGUGGGGAAUAUUGCACAAUGGGCGAAAGCCUGAUGCAGCGACGCCGCGUGAGGGAUGACGGCCUUCGGGUUGUAAACCUCUUUCAGCAGGGAAGAAGCGAAAGUGACGGUACCUGCAGAAGAAGCGCCGGCUAACUACGUGCCAGCAGCCGCGGUAAUACGUAGGGCGCAAGCGUUGUCCGGAAUUAUUGGGCGUAAAGAGCUCGUAGGCGGCUUGUCACGUCGGAUGUGAAAGCCCGAGGCUUAACCUCGGGUCUGCAUUCGAUACGGGCUAGCUAGAGUGUGGUAGGGGAGAUCGGAAUUCCU
rnacentral:rRNA from 1 species